rnacentral:lncRNA from 1 species
UACAGUUUAGGUAUUACACUUAGGAUUUUUAUUACCUUUUACCUUUUGUGCAUACCCUCUACCACGAGUAGAUGCGGGCUUGCCAGUAUCUUUACCUUUUAGCAUACCCUAUACUAUGCGUAUAGUGCGCUUGCUAGUAUCUUUACCUAGAUUGUGUCUUCCUAUCGCUACGAAAGCAAGUAGACGUUAUGGAUUAUCUUUUACCUUGAGUUUUAGAUGUUGAUAUCCGGAACCAUAUCAUAUAUGUUUAGGUUUGUAGUAAUGUAGUUUUAACUGGUCCUAAUGAAUUAGUCCCUCAUUGAAUUCUGGGGUGAUUAAUAGAAUUUGUUCGCUCUAGUGUCAAUGUUGGGUAAAGUUAAUAGGAUGCGUUUAGGUUAAUUGUUGUUUAUGGUUCUUAGUUAUAUUGUGUUAAGGGUUGUUAAUACACACCUGUAAUUUAGUUUUAAUCAUGGGUUUACUAACACUUGAGAAUGUAGAUAGUAAGUAGUGUUAAGAGCUGACUUACUCUAUAAGGUUGUAUAAUUAUAUUUAGAAUAUAAGUGAUUAACGUGUAAUUAUUCGUUUUUCUCUAUCAUUGGUUUUACUAAAUUAAAGUAAAUUAUCUUGUUGAAUAACUUAUGUCAGUCAGUUACGUAUGUCGGUUAGUUACACAUCCCUUCUAUGUUCUAUACUUUCUGCAAAUACCAUUAAAGAUAUCUCGCGUGGCCUCUAUACUGUCUGUAUGACUUCGUCCUGAUUUUUGUUCUGUCUCCUCAGCAAAUAGUAUGGCUGUUGAGCCUACCAUAAUUAUGGUUUUAUACCACAACGUUUCUCCUUUACCGUAUCCAUCCUCAGGUUCGCCUAGCGUCAGUUAGUUCUGAAAAAUAAAAAAAAA